GGGAGAUCCCAGAGCUGCGGUUCCACCAACCGUAUCGCCCUAAAAGCAAAGGUGAAUACUCCACAAUCUACAGGAAUGAGGCAGCAACUCAGCCAGAGCUGCCACAGGAACAUGCAGCCACCCAGAGCUCAGACUGCAGAGCAUGUUCCUCGGAUCAGCUGACUGAAGCCAGCUCUGCCGGAGCCGGGAGCGAAAUCUCGAAGCUACUGAGAUGACUGCAUGGAAGAUGAAUCUGAUUUAAUCCAUGUGCAGGUUAACAAAAGAGAAAAAAGGUGACAGCGUGCAGGCAACAACAGGAGCGAUUGCAACACAGCCUUUCGAUGAUGGCAGAGGAGAGCUCUGCUGGGACCCACAUGUGGAAGCGUGAGACGGGGGGAAUGACUUUGCUAUUUAAUGCUCCCAGGCUCAAGGGGAAAGGGGCUGGUGGGCAUUCCCUGUUAAUAAGCAACAGUUUCAAAUGCACAUCAAGCACCCUAAGGAAACAGCUUGAAAGACCCUGAAAAGUAUGACUUCGUACCUCCUUUGCUUGGUUCCAGUAAUUAUUAUAAGGGUAAUGACUGUUGUGAAUUACUUUUUAUCUCCGCUAUUAUUACAUGGACAUCGUCUUUUUGCUUUGUACAAUUUUGAGGCAUUUGAGAACAAGAAGGCCUCGGCUGUAUCUUUUAUGUGCUCUUCCUCCAGCCUAUUCAUCUCAGCCCUCCCAAGCUGCGUGCAGAGAUGUCUGCCUCAUCUUUCAAGAGUUUGUCCACAACUCGUCGCACACUGAAGUGAGAAGAACACAUGGUCCUGCCUGUCAGGGGUGCUGUGCUAGUGUUAAAAUUCGGUGAUAGUGUUUGCAGGAAGAAAAGAGGUUUUUCUGCUGUGUUUUGUGACAAGAACAACUUGUCUUGACUUUACAGCCAGUAUUGGCCGCCAAUUGCACCUCCACAAAAGUAGGAUCAAUGGUGAAAACUCUCCCAAGCCCUGAGGAUCGCUGUCAGGCUGCCCACGGCUUUCCUUUCGGCAAAUGCCGAUAACCAGCCUCAUCCUCCGAUAAAGUCCCAAGCGGUUCUGCAAGACUCCAGCUCCCCUGGUGGGACAAAGUUCCUGUGUUGGAGGUCAGAAGGUGCAAAAUCACCCACACAGUGCACAGCAGGGCCUUUCUGGCCCGGGGGGAUGAGCUCCGCACUGGUGAGCGAUUUUUUCACUGAAUAGCAAAUGUUUUUAAUGUUUUUUUCAGCGCUGCCACACAGUGGCAGUGUUGAGGCUCCUGCUAUACGGCAAGAGACCGAAGAAAAUCCUCUUCAGUUAGAAAUUACCUGGCUCUCCUGCUAGGGACACCCUGUCGUCUUUCAAGGUAUUAACGUGGAGAGCAUUUUCCUUGUCCAGUAAUACUGUUACUCGUGUUUUUAGGUUGUUUUCCUAAGGAGCUGAGAUAAAGGGGAUGUUAUGGCCAGCCUACAGUCCUUCCCCACAACACACAAACACAUUAGGGUGGCAAAAGCAUCGAGUUUAAGUUUCAUGAAAAGAGUUGGCCAGUUAGAGAGAGUGAGCACUAGCAACGUACAGAAGGAGGUCGAAGCACAAGCCCGGAUUAUUGUUUGACGGAGGGAAAAGGAAUUACGAGUGUCUUAACCAGUGGAAAAGCUUCAGUCAGCAAGAACACUUGUCAGACAAGGGAAUGUUCAGCUGUGAGGCACUGAGUCCGCUAUGUUCUCCUGCCCACAGAGCUGGUUGGUUUUGAUACAGGUUAAAAUAUGAUAAAGUGAAACAUGCAUGUGUAAUCAAGAAAUCGUCUUUUUCUCGAUGACAUCUGUGCCUCGGAAAGUCACAUCCCACAGGGAGGAGUGGGAGUAGAAAAGCUGCUUCCUUUGGGUCUUCUUUUGAGCUGAUUAAAAAAAAGACCAAAAUGCUUGAAUGCCUCAACAUUUUCCCAAAGUUAAAGCCACGGAGAUGAUAAAAUUUUCCAAAUCAUAGAAUGUCAGGGGUUGAAGGGCCCUGGAAAGCUCAUGCAGUGCAAUCCCCCCAUGGAGCAGGAACACCCAGAUGAGGUUACACAGGAAGGUGUCCAGGCGGGUUGGAAUGUCUGCACAGAAGGAGACAAAUGCAGCCAGUUCUUGCCCUUCCACGUCCUGCCGAUGAGCUGAACACCAGACCAGCAGGAGCACAGCGGCUGCCUGCCCAGGGCCGACCUUUUGAAGGACCACUUGGAGACGGCAGAGGACCGGCCAGGCUGCCCUGUGAGGGUAUCGGGGCCAACCUCUUCUGAGUCAUGUCCUUGCUGCUGAGAUCAAACCCCACUGUGCCAGACAACACCACAAACCGCGCUGUAGCACCUUGAAAGCGGGACGCUUGUCUGCCUUCAGAAGGAGCCAGGCUGGCUGGCUGCUGGCAGAAAGCCCACUGCAAUGUAAUUGGAAGAAGAGUUUUAAAUCAAGUUGGUAUUUUUUCUUUAAACAAGACAUCUCAAAUGGAGUGCUGAGCAUCAAAGGAUCGAGCAGAGCGGCACAGAAAUAGCAGCAAGAUCAUCUAACGAGGCAGAGAACAAGACUCCCGACCCCGGCGAGGCUAGCAAGGGAGACAGCACUUCCAAAGCCGUCGUCUUUGAGCACAGGGGAACAUUUCUCCUUAUGAAUUUUCUAUUUUCCAGCAAAAAGAGAAACACAGUGGUAGUAUGGUAACAGAAUGAAAACCGUUCUUCCAGAAGGAACCAGCGUUAUCCAGCCAAAUAUCUUCUUAUGGACACUGGUGGGCUCUGAAUCAGGCUCACAAGAAUAUGAACAGCACAUCACAAUGUUGUAUUUAGCACCUCUCCUCCACUUCCCUCCCCGGACAGUCGUGCUGUGAGUACCCUGUUGCUGGCUGGUGCUGAUGGGUAUUUGCUUUCCCAAGCUGGGAUUAAGAUGACAGGAACUUGCAUGGAGCCCAACAUAAAGUCUGAGAUUCAAACUCCCUGAGAUUGGAAGAGUUUGGAUCCCGCUCUGGACUUUAUUAUUUACGUUUUCUUUUCCUGGCCACAAAAAGCCCAGAUUUAGCAUACAGAGUCAGUCUGCAAUCGCAACCUGGUCAACAAAGACCUUCUCUGAGUUGAUCACAGCAGGAUGAAUCUCUCCCUGCUCUGCUGGCACCAUGGAAUCCCGUGUUGGGCCAUGGAGCAGCCGUAAGUGGCAGCAAGGGACGCGGUGGUAGCAGUGUAUUCAUGCUGCACACUGUUGGUUGUGGAAAUGUGUUAUAGUCGUAUUUUCGCCUGUUGCUAGUGCCUUUAUACAGUGGGCGUGCAUUUGCCACACGCAUUCUAACGGACAUCUCGUAAGCUUUUCUAGAAACUUCUCACACUAUUUCUAUAACCAAGUUUCACUUUGAGAAUUGCAGUCGCAGAAGCAGGGCUCCUAACACAAUCACCAGGUACCGCACAGCCAGGCCAUGGGGAGUGGUGACGGGCAGGCUGUGAUGAGGAUGGAUGUGCUGUGUCACUCACAGGACAGGGGUUUUUGUCACGUUGUACUUUCCUCCACCACUCUCUGCUGUUGCUCAUGGCCCGAGGGGUUACACUGAGCUGCCUGCAGAGCAAGAGCUGGCUGAUCCUUCAUGCCCUCUGUAAAUUCAAAUGGAAACCUAUUUGCACUGACAAAAUACAGAUUUAUUUAUCCCUUUGCAAUAAAAAACAGAGUGAUUUCUA